GUCCUUGUGUUCGUCCCAUAAGUCUGGUGCCAUAUUGUUUUCAUGUCCUACAACCCAUCCGCGCCAUAGCCUUUGCAUAUUUCAGUUUCAGAGUCCGUAGUGUUGAGUUUGUGUCCUGGUUGAGGUCUUGUUACUGGUUAGGUCUUGUUAGAGUCCAAUUUGUGUGUUUCUUCCCACCGUUUCCAUCAAUUUAUAGCCACCGCCGCAAAUUUUCCCACUUCUGGACUGUUUUGUCCUCUAAUUCGGAGUCCGUUCGUAAAACAGCCAUAACUUUCGCAUACGAACUCCGAUUUUGACGUUCCAUAUAUCAAAAUCGAUCAGAAAAUUUUUUUGGGUCUGUCUAUGCCCGCUAGUCGGGUUCGACAAAUUUAGAAUCCCCAAAUUCGCCUCUGAAGUUUGAGUUUUCACCUCCUAAAGUUUUCUUUAUAUUUUUCGCAAUCUUCAAAAGUUUCCACAGGCCACGUCUUUCACUUGUUCAAGCUCAAAUUUCCUGUGGUUACUUCUUGAGUGCUCCUAAGUAAAAGAAAAUUAUCAAAAAAAAAAAUAAAAAGAAUUGCAGGUUUCGAACCGUGUUGUUCGCAAGCUGGAUUGAUUUGUCUCUUUUCCACCAAAUCGAUAGUUGCCAGAAACUUUCGGAAGAUCGGGCCACACUUAUUCUCCUCAAGUGGUAAUCAAAGCUUCAGACAUAACGUUAGGUUCACAUCUACCCUUAGUUUCAAGUGUCCUUGUGUUGGUCCCAUAAGUCUGGUGCCGUAUUAUUUUCAUGUCCUACAACCCAUCCGCGCCAUAGCCUUUGCAUAUUUCAGUUUCCGAGUCCGUAGUGUUGAGUUUGUGUCCUGGUCGAGCUCUUGUUACUGGUUAGGUCUUGUUAGAGUCCAAUUUGUAUGUUUCUUCCCACCGUUUCCAUCAAUUUAUAGCCACCGCCGCAAAUUUUCCCACUUCUGGACUGUUUUGUCCUCUAAUUCGGAGUCCGUUCUUAAAACAGUCAUAACUUUCGCAUACGAACUCCGAUUUUGGCAUUCUAUAUAUCAAAAUCGAUCAGAAAAUUUUUCUGGGUCUGUCUAUGCCUGCUAGCGGGUUCGACAAAUUUAGAAUCCCCAAAUUCGCCUCUGAAGUUUGAGUUUUCACCUCCUAAAGUUUUCUUUAUAUUUUUCGCAAUCUUCAAAACUUUCCACAGGCCACGUCUUUCACUUGUUCAAGCUCAAAUUUCCUGUGGUUACUUCUUGUGUGCUCCUAAGUAAAAGAAAAAUAUCAAAGAAAAAUAAAAAGAACUGCAGGUUUCGAACCAUGUUGUUCGCAAGCUGGAUUGAUUUGUGUCUCUUUUCCACCAAAUCGAUAGUUGCCAGAAACUUUCGGAAGAUCGGGCCACACUUAUUCUCCUCAAGUGGUAAUCAAAGCUUCAGACAUAACGUUAGGUUCACAUCUACCCUUAGUUUCGAGUGUCCUUGUGUUCGUCCCAUAAGUCUGGUGCCAUAUUGUUUUCAUGUCCUACAACCCAUCCGCGCCAUAGCCUUUGCAUAUUUCAGUUUCAGAGUCCGUAGUGUUGAGUUUGUGUCCUGGUCGAGGUCUUGUUACUGGUUAGGUCUUGUUAGAGUCCAAUUUGUGUGUUUCUUCCCACCGUUUCCAUCAAUUUAUAGCCACCGCCGCAAAUUUUCCCACUUCUGGACUGUUUUGUCCUCUAAUUCGGAGUCCGUUCGUAAAACAGCCAUAACUUUCGCAUACGAACUCCGAUUUUGACGUUCCAUAUAUCAAAAUCGAUCAGAAAAUUUUUUUUGGGUCUGUCUAUGCCCGCCAUAGGCGGGUUCGACAAAUUAGGAUCCCCAAAUUCGCCUCUGAAGUUUGAGUUUUCACCUCCUAAAGUUUUCUUUAUAUUUUUCGCAAUCUUCAAAACUUUCCACAGGCCACGUCUUUCACUUGUUCAAGCUCAAAUUUCCUGUGGUUACUUCUUGAGUGCUCCCAAGUUAAAGAAAAAUAUCAAAAAAAAUAAAAAGAAUUGCAGGUUUCGAACCGUGUUGUUCGUAAGCUGGAUUGAUUUGUGUCUUUUUUCCACCAAAUCGAUAGUUGCCAGAAACUUUCGGAAGAUCGGGCCACACUUAUUCUCCUCAAGUGGUAAUCAAAGCUUCAGACAUAACGUUAGGUUCACAUCUACCCUUAGUUUCGAGUGUCCUUGUGUUCGUCCCAUAAGUCUGGUGCCAUAUUGUUUUCAUGUCCUACAACCCAUCCGCGCCAUAGCCUUUGCAUAUUUCAGUUUCCGAGUUCGUAGUGUUGAGUUUGUGUCCUGGUCGAGAUCUUGUUACUGGUUAGGUCUUGUUAGAGUCCAAUUUGUGUGUUUCUUCCCACCGUUUCCAUCAAUUUAUAGCCACCGCCGCAAAUUUUCCCACUUCUGGACUGUUUUGUCCUCUAAUUCGGAGUCCGUUCGUAAAACAGCCAUAACUUUCGCAUACGAACUCCGAUUUUGACGUUGCAUAUAUCAAAAUCGAUCAGAAAAUUUUUUUGGGUCUGUCUAUGCCCGCUUUGCGGGUUCGACAAAUUUAUAAUCCCCAAAUUCGCCUCUAAAGUUGGAGUUUUCACCUCCUAAUGUUUUCUUUAUAUUUUUCGCAAUCUUCAAAAGUUUCCACAGGCCACGUCUUUCACUUGUUCAAGCUCAAAUUUCCUGUGGUUACUUCUUGAGUGCUCCUAAGUAAAAGAAAAAUAUCUCAAAAAAAUAAAAUAAUUGCAGGUUUCGAACCGUGUUGUUCGCAAAUUGGAUUGAUUUGUGUCUCUUUUCCACCAAAUCGAUAGUUGCCAGAAACUUUCGGAAGAUCGGGCCACACUUAUUCUCCUCAAGUGGUAAUCAAAGCUUCAGACAUAACGUUAGGUUCACAUCUACCCUUAGUUUCGAGUGUCCUUGUGUUCGUCCCAUAAGUCUGGUGCCAUAUUGUUUUCAUGUCCUACAACCCAUCCGCGCCAUAGCCUUUGCAUAUUUCAGUUUUAGAGUCCGUAGUGUUGAGUUUGUGUCCUGGUCGAGGUCUUGUUACUGGUUAGGUCUUGUUAGAGUCCAAUUUGUGUGUUUCUUCCCACCGUUUCCAUCAAUUUAUAGCCACCGCCGCAAAUUUUCCCACUUCAGGACUGUUUUGUCCUCUAAUUCGGAGUCCGUUCGUAAAACAGCCAUAACUUUCGCAUACGUUCCAUAUAUCAAAAUCGAUCAGAAAAUUUUUUUUGGGUCUGUCUAUGCCCGCCACGGGCGGGUUCGACAAAUUAGGAUCCCCAAAUUCGCCUCUGAAGUUUGAGUUUUCAUCUCCUAAAGUUUUCUUUAUAUUUUUCGCAAUCUUCAAAACUUUCCACAGGCCACGUCUUUCACUUGUUCAAGCUCAAAUUUCCUGUGGUUACUUCUUGAGUGCUCCUAAGUAAAAGAAAAAUAUCAAAGAAAAAAUAAAAUAAUUGCAGGUUUCGAACCGUGUUGUUCGCAAACUGGAUUGAUUUGUGUCUCUUUUCCACCAAAUCGAUAGUUGCCAGAAGCUUUCGGAAGAUCGGGCCACACUUAUUCUCCUCAAGUGGUAAUCAAAGCUUCAGACAUAACGUUAGGUUCACAUCUACCCUUUGUUUCGAGUGUCCUUGUGUUCGUCCCAUAAGUCUGGUGCCAUAUUCUUUUCAUGUCCUACAACCCAUCCGCGCCAUAGCCUUUGCAUAUUUCAGUUUCAGAGUCCGUAGUGUUGAGUUUGUGUCCUGGUCGAGGUCUUGUUACAGGUUAGGUCUUGUUAGAGUCCAAUUUGUGUGUUUCUUCCCACCGUUUCCAUCAAUUUAUAGCCACCGCCGCAAAUUUUCCCACUUCUGGACUGUUUUGUCCUCUAAUUCGGAGUCCGUUCGUAAAACAGCCAUAACUUUCGCAUACGAACUCCGAUUUUGACGUUCCAUAUAUCAAAAUCGAUCAGAAAAUUUUUUUUGGGUCUGUCUAUGCCCGCCACGGGCGGGUUCGACAAAUUAGGAUCCCCAAAUUCGCCUCUGAAGUUUGAGUUUUCAUCUUCUAAAGUUUUCUUUAUAUUUUUCGCAAUCUUCAAAACUUUCCACAGGCCACGUCUUUCACUUGUUCAAGCUCAAAUUUCCUGUGGUUACUUCUUGAGUGCUCCCAAGUUAAAGAAAAAUAUCAAAAAAAAAUAAAAAGAAUUGCAGGUUUCGAACCGUGUUGUUCGGAAGCUGGAUUGAUUUGUGUCUUUUUUCCACCAAAUCGAUAGUUGCCAGAAACUUUCGGAGGAUCGGGCCACACUUAUUCUCCUCAAGUGGUAAUCAAAGCUUCAGACUUAACGUUAGGUUCACAUCUACCCUUAGUUUCGAGUGUCCUUGUGUUCGUCCCAUAAGUCUGGUGCCAUAUUGUUUUCAUGUCCUACAACCCAUCCGCGCCAUAGCCUUUGCAUAUUUCAGUUUCCGAGUUCGUAGUGUUGAGUUUGUGUCCUGGUCGAGAUCUUGUUACUGGUUAGGUCUUGUUAGAGUCCAAUUUGUGUGUUUCUUCCCACCGUUUCCAUCAAUUUAUAGCCACCGCCGCAAAUUUUCCCACUUCUGGACUGUUUUGUCCUCUAAUUCGGAGUCCGUUCGUAAAACAGCCAUAACUUUCGCAUACGAACUCCGAUUUUGACGUUGCAUAUAUCAAAAUCGAUCAGAAAAUUUUUUUGGGUCUGUCUAUGCCCGCUUUGCGGGUUCGACAAAUUUAUAAUCCCCAAAUUCGCCUCUAAAGUUGGAGUUUUCACCUCCUAAUGUUUUCUUUAUAUUUUUCGCAAUCUUCAAAAGUUUCCACAGGCCACGUCUUUCACUUGUUCAAGCUCAAAUUUCCUGUGGUUACUUCUUGAGUGCUCCUAAGUAAAAGAAAAAUAUCAAAGAAAAAAUAAAAUAAUUGCAGGUUUCGAACCGUGUUGUUCGCAAACUGGAUUGGGUAAUCAAAGCUUCAGACAUAACGUUAGGUUCACAUCUACCCUUAGUUUCGAGUGUCCUUGUGUUCGUCCCAUAAGUCUGGUGCCAUAUUGUUUUCAUGUCCUACAACCCAUCCGCGCCAUAGCCUUUGCAUAUUUCAGUUUCAGAGUCCGUAGUGUUGAGUUUGUGUCCUGGUCGAGGUCUUGUUACUGGUUGUUAGAGUCCAAUUUUUGUGUUUCUUCCCACCGUUUCCAUCAAUUUAUAGCCACCGCCGCAAAUUUUACCACUUCUAGACUGUUUUGUCAUCUAAUUCGGAGUCCGUUCGUAAAACAGCCAUAACUUUCGCAUACGAACUCCGAUUUUGACGUCGCAUAUAUCAAAAUCGAUCAGAAAAUUUUUCUGAGUCUGUCUAUGCCCGCCAAAGGCGGGUUCGACAAAUUUAGAAUCCCCAAAUUCGCCUCUGAAGUUUGAGUUUUCACCUCCUAAAGUUUUCUUUAUAUUUUUCGCAAUCUUCAAAAGUUUCCACAGGACACGUCUUUCACUUGUUCAAGCUCAAAUUUCCUGUGGUUACUUCUUGAGUGCUCCUAAGUAAAAGAAAAAUAUCAAAAAAAUAAAAUAAAAAGAAUUGCAGGUUUCGAACCGUGUUGUUCGCAAGCUGGAUUGAUUUGUCUCUUUUCCACCAAAUCGAUAGUUGCCAGAAACUUUUGGAAGAUCGAGCCACACUUAUUCUCCUCAAGUGGUAAUCAAAGCUUCAGACAUAACGUUAGGUUCACAUCUACUAUUAGUUUCGAGUGUCCUUGUGUUCGUCCCAUAAGUCUGGUGCCAUAUUGUUUUCAUGUCCUACAACCCAUCCGCGCCAUAGCCUUUGCAUAUUUCAGUUUCAGAGUCCGUAGUGUUGAGUUUGUGUCCUGGUCGAGGUCUUGUUACUGGUUAGGUCUUGUUAGAGUCCAAUUUGUGUGUUUCUUCCCACCGUUUCCAUCAAUUUGUAGCCACCGCCGCAAAUUUUCCCACUUCUGGACUGUUUUGUCCUCUAAUUCGGAGUCCGUUCGUAAAACAGCCAUAACUUUCGCAUACGAACUCCGAUUUUGACGUUCCAUAUAUCAAAAUCGAUCAGAAAAUUUUUUUGGGUCUGUCUAUGCCCGCUAGUCGGGUUCGACAAAUUUAGAAUCCCCAAAUUCGCCUCUGAAGUUUGAGUUUUCACCUCCUAAAGUUUUCUUUAUAUUUUUCGCAAUCUUCAAAAGUUUCCACAGGACACGUCUUUCACUUGUUCAAGCUCAAAUUUCCUGUGGUUACUUCUUGAGUGCUCCUAAGUAAAAGAAAAAUAUCAAAAAAAAAUAAAAAGAAUUGCAGGUUUCGAACCGUGUUGUUCGCAAGCUGGAUUGAUUUGUCUCUUUUCCACCAAAUCGAUAGUUGCCAGAAACUUUCGGAAGAUCGGGCCACACUUAUUCUCCUCAAGUGGUAAUCAAAGCUUCAAACAUAACGUUAGGUUCACAUCUACCCUUAGUUUCGAGUGUCCUUGUGUUCGUCCAAUAAGUCUGGUGCCAUAUUAUUUUCAUGUCCUACAACCCAUCCGCGCGAUAGCCUUUGCAUAUUUCAGUUUCAGAGUCCGUAGUGUUGAGUUUGUGUCCUGGUCGAGGUCUUGUUACUGGUU
rnacentral:lncRNA from 1 species